CUUCCAUAAGAACAUCCUAAAAUCCACAGAUUGUUUUAAUAGGAAAGAACUUAAUGAUUUGAAAAUAAAAUACAAGGGUAAAAGCAGAGUUUUAUCCAUCCAUGCAGAAAACCAUUAGCAUUUCAGAUUUUAAAUCCUAUAUCUUCAACCAUGUUAAUAGCUCUGAAUAGGAGCUGUCACCUAUUUUUCUUGAUAGAGUUCUCCUCUUUAAAACUUUGAGGACAAUUGAUGUUGCUGUUUCCAAUUAGGACUAUAGCCCCUGCCCUUGAUUGUUAAUAACUAUUUUGCCUUAAGACAUAUCUCAUUUGCUAACUGGAAAAGGCAGGCUAAUGGUGCCUACAUAUUGUUUGGAGUGCAUUGGUGAAGCCAACUCCCAGGGCCUGUAAUCUCUGGAAUGCUUGACUCCUUCUUAGUAAUCCUUCUUAAAAUGUGGAGCCAGGACUGGAUGCAAUACUCAAAAAGAAUCUGAUUAUCCCAGAAUAAAGCAGAAGUACCAUACUUCUUUCCAUUAUUGGAAAACUAUGUUUCUAUUAAAGUAGUUUAAAAUUGUA